GUUGAUAUCUGUGUGAUAACAAAGGGAAACACGGAGUACUUAAGAAACCAUUUGUCGCCUAAUCCCCGCACCUAUCCACAAAAAGGUUACUCGUUCCCCAAAAAGACUGAAGUUCUCCUUACAAAGAUUACACCAUUGAGAGAGAUUGUACAAGUGAUUGAAGGUGGAGAUGCCAUGGAAGAAUGACUUGUAUUGCAAUGAUAAAAUCCA